rnacentral:tRNA from 1 species
UUUGGGUGUAUUCCGUAAGGAGAGCGCUCUGCAAAGGCGCUUUUAGAAGUUUCUUGCACCUUUC